AAUUAUUAAGUAUGAAAUUUCAAGUUACUAAAAACGUAUAACAUGUCGGAUCGUUGGCGAUAAUCAUUAAUCCCAAAAGCUCAAACUGUUAGAAAUACGCAACUAAUUCAUUCAAAGUGUAUAGAUACAGCGCUCACGGAUCUCAAUUGUGACUUGGCAUAAUCAGUCUCACACUACUUCGAACGUGACUCGGUUCACCCAGCCUCACGUCAUUUCGAAUAUGACUCGGCCCAACAUGACCUUCCGCCACAAAGCAGAAUGCUGGCCCAUUUAAGCCAACAUAACAAUCAAACAUUAUUUAAUUAAUAUAUUGUAUAAAAGAAUUAAAUAUAUUUAAAAUAUUUGAUUAAAUUAGUUAGAAAUAUAUUAAAGACAUCUAAG
rnacentral:lncRNA from 1 species